rnacentral:lncRNA from 1 species
CCUUGCCCCAUUGACUGGUUACUGAAGAGCCUAUGUAGUGCCGAGGAGGAGCUGAAUUAUAGAGAAGCACACGGGCUGCAUCAUUUAUACGUCUGUCAGGGAUGAACCUUUUCAACUUGUUUAUUUAUAUUGAUGGCAUCUGGAGGCAAGGAAUUGUACAGUCAGCUUUUGAUAGCCUAAAGGGCUUCUUUUAAUUUUAAAAACUCAGAUUGUUUAUUUUAAAAUGCAAGCAGAUUAUAUAUCCGAGAAGAACAUACUCCAGGGCUUGCAUUUUUCUUUUUUACCUUGAAUUACAGGGGUAAAAAAAAAUCACUUCUAAUCCAGGGCAGCAUUAGCUCAGAUGUUCAAAAAGAAUCACUGUUUUGUAUACGGAGUAGCCAUUUAUAUCUGUGCAACUUGGCUUUAAAAUGCUGCUGUUGUUAUUCUCCUGUGUUUCACACCUGCUGGAAGGGGCUGGACAAGAGAGAACUCAACCAGACAUUGCACAUAAUUUCAGUUAAGCCCGGUAGUGGCAGUGCUGUGAAAUCUGAUAUUUGUCCUAAGGUCAGGAGUGUGGAAGGAGCAGGGGUUCUGAUUACAACUGAUCUGCAUCUUCGGAGAUAUUAGCAUCCAGAACUAAACAAAAGAAUAAGCGCUCAUAAGAAAACUGAAGCUAUUUCUCUAAGCUCAUCGGGCACAGAGUCACCUGAUUGAGAUGUUACCCAACUACAUGGGAAGGAAACAGUGGACCAGCAAAAUACCUUCCUCACUUGAUCAUGACCAUACUAGUGCUGCCUGAUUGGAUCCUAGUAUUUUAAAGCAUUAUAGCCCCGAUUUAGUGAGUGCUUAAACUCAUGUAUAACUUUAAUUGUUUGAGUAAUUACACUGAUGCUAAACAUAAGAGGUGAAAUUGGAUUCGUGUCCUGAGAGGUUUGUCUCAUUUAUAUACUGUGAUUUGUUGUAUGCAAACAGAGCUAAAUCUCAACUCAAGGAAAAUCACUGCUCUGCUUGCAUUCCAGCUUCCGUGCAUCAUCAAAUGGAAAGCAAAUAAAAGGUUAAAUUACAACUCUGAAUUUUUCUGA